GAUGAACGCUGGCGGCGUGCUUAACACAUGCAAGUCGAACGGAAAGGCCCUGCUUUUGUGGGGUGCUCGAGUGGCGAACGGGUGAGUAACACAUGAGUAACCUGCCCUUGACUUUGGGAUAACUUCAGGAAACUGGGGCUAAUACCGGAUAGGAGCUCCUGCUGCAUGGUGGGGGUUGGAAAGUUUCGGCGGUUGGGGAUGGACUCGCGGCUUAUCAGCUUGUUGGUGGGGUAGUGGCUUACCAAGGCUUUGACGGGUAGCCGGCCUGAGAGGGUGACCGGCCACAUUGGGACUGAGAUACGGCCCAGACUCCUACGGGAGGCAGCAGUGGGGAAUAUUGCACAAUGGGCGGAAGCCUGAUGCAGCAACGCCGCGUGCGGGAUGACGGCCUUCGGGUUGUAAACCGCUUUCGCCUGUGACGAAGCGUGAGUGACGGUAAUGGGUAAAGAAGCACCGGCUAACUACGUG
rnacentral:rRNA from 1 species